UAGAUAGCUAAAAUGAUUAGGUAUAUACAUAUAUAAAUAUAUCACCUGUUGUCAAUACGAACAUAGGGCCUAUAGUUGGGUGGCGCUACGAAAAAAAAGAAAAGAAACUCUAUCGAAAUAAGCUCGUUCUUGGAUUCGAACGGCUUCGUGUAAAUAAGAAAAUUAAUAACGAUAUUAAAAUAAUAAACGAGCAGAUGGCGCGAAAGAAUUCUUGAGAGAGGAAUAAUAAACCGCUCGGUUUUUAAUCGUAUCGCUCGUUAUUGAAUUAAGUUCGUUUCUUUCUUCGAAAAUAACUUUUCUCCGUUCGUUUGCAACGUCUGUAGCUCAUCGAACGAGGAUUUGGAUUUAAUUUCGAAUUUCUCUCCUCGGCGAUGAUCUAUGGCCUCGAGUUUAAAAAAAAAAAAAAAAAAGAAGAAGAAACUUUAAAUUAAAUUAGAAAAAAGAAAGACAAACGCAUCGUUGACUCGCGUUACGAUAAUAGACGGCGAGAAUAAAUAGCAUUGAUUACGAAAACGAAACAGGGUAGCCUAUCAAUUAUUAAAACGAUUCCGAAAGAGAAGGCUGCACACUAUGGAUUGGCCCCAUAUAUUCGCGUGGUGCGUCGGUGAUCAAUUGAGUUUGAAAAGGAAAAAGAAGAGGAGGAAAAAGUAGUAGCUCGAGCAAACGUGUCGGUGCGACGAUGAUGGGAACUCGUAUGAACGAUGACGUCGUCGCGUGUUCAUCAAUUAGGAGAACGAAAUAUACAUUUGUAUGUAUCGAGAAGAUAUCUUUAUAUUGAGACGUAUGUAACAUAAUUUCUGUACAUAACUGGAAUUAUUGCUCACCGUAUCUCGUAAGAUUUAGUUAGUUUUGUAACUAAGUGAAAAGAAAGAAAAAAAAAAAUGAAUAAUGAACUAUGUGCAUAUCUGAUUAAUUGCGCGGACAUUUUCGCGACGGACAGUUCCCCUCGAAAGUUCUCGACCCUGUCGUCGUAGAUCGAAAAAAAGAAAAAAAGAAAAAGAAGAAGAAGAAGAAGAAAAUAAAAAUAACAAUAAAAAUAAAAAUCAGUAUUCGUAAUAAUAAUAAUAAUAAUAAUAAUAAUGAUAAUACUAAUAAUAAUACUAAUAAUAAUAAUAAUAAUAAUAAACACUUCCUUCCUAUCGAGAACUCGUUCUCACAUUCCACGAUCGGUCUUGAUCGUGCGCGUAGUCCGUCGUCAAGAAAACGAUCAGUUCCUCUCGGUUCGCGCUCGAAUCGUUUCGUCGAGGGGAACGCGAUCAAGUCGAAUACGAGAUUAUACAGUGUAGUAUUAUCGUACUCUUUAAGCAUUUUUCCUCUCGCGAUUCGACGAUUUCCGUUCUUCUCGCCGCGAUAUCGACCAACUUCGUCGACGGAGUCUCCCAUUUCCGGGCCAUGGAACUGUCCACCGGAAGUCCAGCUUUAUUGUACAUCAAUCACUCUGUACAAUGUUCAUCCUGAUGUUACUGUUAACUAUUUAAAAAAGGAGAGAGAGAAGAAAAAAAAAAAUAAAAGAGUGGAAGCAUGCGAGAGAGUGAGCGUGAGAACGAGAGAGAGAGAGAGAGAGAGAGAGGAGGAGGAGAGAGAGAGAGAGAAAGAGAGAAAAUUUCGAAACUUUCACAUUCAAAGCGCGCAAACUAAAUCCUGUGCGCAUGCGCGCGUGCCAGACGCGAUUCCAGGGCACACGCGCUUGCGCACACGAUCGCACACGUCACACGUGUAAAAUGUAUAAAUGCUUGGUGAAAUUCCGAUUAUUGUACAGAUUUAAUAACGGGGAGAAGGAAAAGAAACAAAAGACAUAGAAGACGUAAAGGAGAACGCCACGAGUGGUAUCGAAUGUUUAGAUGAUGGCGACGAUGCCAUGCCGAAAAAAAAAGAAAAAAAAUAAGAGAAAGAGAGAGAGAGAGAGAGAGAGAGAGAGAGAGAGAGAUAUCUAUACAUACAGACACAGACGAUUUCUAUUAAUAAAGAGAUGUAGGUUAACGAAGUAUACUGCGGGAAGUAAUUACAAUCAAUGUACUGGAUGGUCCAUGGCGAUGUUAAAAUUAGAAAAGUUUAUGUCGUUUGAACCUUAGAAGUUUGCGCCUUCUUGCGCCGCAGGGCCAUCCUAUACGUAUUAAUUGGUUAUCUGUCAAUUAUUAAUUAAAUUAUAUCGAUUUCUUCGCCUUUAGUCAAGGAAAGAAACGAGAAUGGUCGCGAAACUUCCUCAUCGCACGUCGAUGUUCAAUUAACGCGCGCAAUAUAUAUACACUCUAUAUAUAUAUAUACACACACUCUUCUCGCGAAUCUUCCUUCCAUCCCCUACUCCGGUCUAAGGAGGAAGUUGGCGAAGAAGUUGUGCGAUCGACGACUUCGAAUAGUUUAUUUUUCUAUAGUGCAAUCAUUUCGUUUUCGUGCAAUUCCCGACCCCCUUGUUGUUUUUUCAUUGAAAAGUUUAUAUUCUCGCGCGCGCCCCUUCCUUCGAGAAAAGGAAACCUCGAAACCGCGCGUGUCUCGACGCUGCGUUUCGAUGGGGAAAUUUCGCCCGCCGGCUCUGUCGACGCUGUGUGUUACAUAAAGCGCGACGAUUGUUAGGCAAAUUCAUUUUACGAAUCAUCCUGUGACGGAAAAACGCUUACGCGUUUUUCUCUGAAUGCGCGCGUUUAGAAAACGAGAAUGAGAAAAAGAAGGGACGAGAGGGAAAAUCGAGAGGACAAUGUUGCCUAAAAUCGGGUGGGCGAGGGAAGUUUUUUCAAAUUUGUUGAUACAUUUCAUACUUUACGAUUAGGGAUUAUGGCCUAUUACUAACUAUUUCGCAAACCUUAUCCGACGAUUCGAUCGUUUUUUUCCUUUUUUUUUUUUUUUUUUUUUCUUAUUAUUGCACGCCACACGUUAUGCAACAAUCACGGUGCUUAAAUCGAGAGAUAUCCCAUUUCGCAAAAUGAAAGGUGUAACAAAGCAAAAAAUAGAAGAGAGAGAGAGAGAGAGAGAGAAAGAAACGUCCCGAUUGAAUGAGAUGUGCCAUACUAUUCAUCGUAUAAAUAACGCUCUUACGCCCUCGAAUCGAAAGGUGUGAGAACCCGUCGAGAACGAAUCGAAAAAUAGGACAAAAAAGUUAUCGAUCUUCGAACGAGAAAUAUGAAUCGCCGUGCGUGAAGCCUGAUAACGGGGGGAGUGUAUUUUAAAAAAAAAAAAAAACGAUCGAAUCGUCUGCUCGCGCAUUUGUGAAAUGGAAAGUGACUUUUUAGAAAAUGAACACUUUUUCGCGUGCUAUCCAUGAAAAAGCUACGUUAAACACGUCGCAUCGAUUACUGUGAGUAUAGAUGGAGGGGAAAGAAGAAGAAAAAGAAAAAAAAAAAAAGAAAAGGAAAAAAAAAAAUAACGCUAUUUCGAAUUCGACUGAGCAACAUAUAGGAGAUACGAUUUAUAUAUACCCCCAUAUUUUUCUCGAUGUUAAAGCUUUUUUCUCAGAACGCGUUACGCGGCGUGUAAUAAUAACCUGCGAAAAAGGAUUCAAGCGGAAUCGUUGCGAAUUUUUCGAAUUAUCGGCGUAUCGUUUGUAUAAUAUAGCGGGGAGGAUCCGAUCGACCGCGAUCGUUAUCACACGAGUAUCGCAAGGGCGGUGGAGAAAUGAAAAGAAAAAAAAAAAAAUGGUGAAGAGGAAAAAGGAUGAUCGUUCUGAAGCGAUGCGAACACUUCUGAUUCAGACCGAUCAUCCCGUUCGAUCAUUUUUUAAUCAUCACUUUGAAUUUCCACGAAACGAGUAUCUACUUCCUUUUUUUUUUCUUUUUUUUUUUUUUUUUUUUUGUUUUUAUUUUCUUAACGUUAAUGUGUUAACAAAGGGAAGAGAAUCGAUGAGUUACGAGUCUGGGGGAAAAAAAAAUCUGUUACGUUUUUUACAGAAGAGAGA